GACGAACGCUGGCGGCGUGCUUAACACAUGCAAGUCGAACGGAAAGGCCCUGCUUUUGUGGGGUGCUCGAGUGGCGAACGGGUGAGUAACACGUGGGUAACCUGCCCUUGACUUUGGGAUAGCUUCAGGAAACUGGGGCUAAUACCGGAUAGGAGCUCCUGCUGCAUGGUGGGGGUUGGAAAGUUUCGGCGGUUGGGGAUGGACUCGCGGCUUAUCAGCUUGUUGGUGGGGUAGUGGCUUACCAAGGCUUUGACGGGUAGCCGGCCUGAGAGGGUGACCGGCCACAUUGGGACUGAGAUACGGCCCAGACUCCUACGGGAGGCAGCAGUGGGGAAUAUUGCACAAUGGGCGGAAGCCUGAUGCAGCAACGCCGCGUGCGGGAUGACGGCCUUCGGGUUGUAAACCGCUUUCGCCUGUGACGAAGCGUGAGUGACGGUAAUGGGUAAAGAAGCACCGGCUAACUACGUG
rnacentral:rRNA from 1 species